UGUCGCGCAACGGGAAGCUCGCUGAACUCACAUUCUCGGCGCCGGCCGGCGCGGACAAUGUCGAUCAAUGGACAUUGAUGAGUAAAUCGUNAGUGACAUGACCCUGCUGGUGGCUGACGACCUGUAUCGUUUCUUUCAUGUCGGCGAAACCGAAGUGCGGGCUUUGCGCGGCGCCAGUCUCCGCGUCGAUCGCGGCGAAACNGCUCUCGUCGGAGCAUCUGGGAGCGGCAAAUCGACUCUCAUGGCGUGUAUCGCAGGACUCG
rnacentral:misc_RNA from 1 species